GUGCUCAGUUCAGCAGCACAUAUACUAAAAUUGGAACUAUACAAAGAAGAUUAGUAUGAUCCUUGUGCAAAGAUGACAUGCAAAUUCAUAAAGGACUGCAUAGUUUU
rnacentral:snRNA from 1 species